GUGUGUGUGUGUGUGUGUGAGAAAUUUGAUGUGGUGCUGGAUAUGAAAUUGCCUCUCUAUUGUUAAAGGCGAGGAAAGAUGGAAAACAUUUGUUGUAAUGGAGAUAAAAGUGCCAAAUGAUGAUAUGUACUCAAGUAAUUACUUUCUGGUCUUUUUAGUUUUUGAUAUAGAUCAUAUUGAAGUUUAUCCUCCUAAGCCUUAUGCUUCAUAAUAAUGAUACUAAUUGGAAGAAUUUCCAAAUGCAGAUUUCUGGAAAGCUUAUUAAAUA
rnacentral:misc_RNA from 1 species